UACGAAGGGGGCUAGCGUUGCUCGGAAUCACUGGGCGUAAAGCGCACGUAGGCGGAUCUUUAAGUCAGGGGUGAAAUCCUGGAGCUCAACUCCAGAACUGCCUUUGAUACUGGGGAUCUCGAGUCCGGAAGAGGUGAGUGGAACUCCGAGUGUAGAGGUGAAAUUCGUAGAUAUUCGGAAGAACACCAGUGGCGAAGGCGGCUCACUGGUCCGGUACUGACGCUGA
rnacentral:rRNA from 1 species